CUGUCUCUUUAGAACAGCUUAAGUCAGGAUAAAUAGGCUUCUGUCUUUACGAGAUUUAAGUGGCUAAAGCUCUGAGAUUUCCAGUGAAGCUUUCCCUCCAAGUAUACUCCUCGCACUGGGAGACAGUGAAUGAGCACCCAGGGGACUCAGGGUCAUAAGACAAAAAGCCCACACAAGCCAGAUCUUUAAGUCCUCAUUUUUAAAUCUCUAAAAUACAUUGAGAAUAUUGCAUGCUAGUCUAAAAUAUGUCUUGAUUUUAGUACAAGAGUCAAAUUUGCUUUCUUUACAUUUUUGAGCACAAUUGACUGUUGGAAACUAUGCCAUGUUUAUUCCUCCCAUUUGAGAAGCAGAAUCCUAAGAUACCAGGUGGAGGGAGUCUGGACCCUGAGAGCUGAAGAUGGAACAGGCUUCAUUUUUCUUCUGCCCAUUUUUCUUCAAAGUGAUUUUUUGAUGUAUGUCUAAACCAAUAGCUAUUCUCCUGUCCCCAGAAUCUUCCUGUCCUUUAGUGCUGGUGUGUGCUGCCUUUUUAUAUCUUAUAAUCACGGAGCACUGAGACGUGGAUGCUGCAAGUAGCCUUACAGAAUCCAGUCAUUUUAUAGAUAAAGAAACUGAGGCCUAGAGAAGGGAAGCUCUUGCUCAAGGUUUCUUCACUAGCCACAGCAGACAGAAAUGAUUAACACUGUCUAGGCCAGUGCUGUUAACAGGUAACAGGUGGCCUGAUAAACAGCUGAUCUAGUAGAUGCUUUUUCUGUUUGGCUUCAGCCUUAUUCCUCAUUCCUUCUCUUUUUACACCUGCUUUACUCUACCCAUGUACUUGCUAUUCCCCAAACAUAGGAAGCCCUUUCUCAAAUUAGUGCUCUAGUGCCUUUCACUCUGCCUUGCAGUGGAAACCAGGGUAGCAGCCCCCCAGAGCCAAGGGUUGGCCUCACUUUUAGGAAGUACUCAGUGAGUGUGCGUUGCAUGAGUGGACUGCACAUUCUACCUCCAUCUGGGACUAAUGAAACUCUACUCUUCUUUUGGGCCCAGUCAAAAUGCAGCAUCUUCUUUAACACCUAUUCCCAAUCACCCCAAUUAGAAUCCAGCAAAUGACAUUCAACGGAAUGUUGUCUCCAUGAUAUGUUGAUAAAUUUAGGUAGUCAAACAUGCUUGAGAAUGAUUGAGUUGAUCAGCACUAAUAAGACUUUACACUGCAAUAUAUGUUAAUGCCUUUAGUACAUUAAUUUAUACUGUCAGUCUUUAUAAAGCGGAGGGCAGUAACAGCAUUUUCCAGAAUUAUUAGAUCAUUUGGCCCUGGCACCCUUUCUUCAGGCAGUGUAUCUCUUGAAACUGUUGUCCUAAGGAAUAUGCCUAGGGGAUCGUGAGUUUACUUUCCACAUGACAUUCACUGUGUAGAGGUGGCAGAUGAGUCGUCUGUGCCUUUAUGCUCCUGCUGGACCAUCGACUCCUUCAGGGCAAGGACUAGUUCUUAAGGAUACUUUUAAAAUGUUGAGUGAAUUAAUGCUUUAGAAGUAAGAGUUCUACAUUAGCCUUCAGUGAUCUUGUGGGGAGAAGGGAUGGGGGUAGUAACUUGAGAGAUGAGAUGAAGAGGAGCAGGAGGAGAUGGCAUCUGUGCUGGGGGUCAAGGGACGUUGAGUGGUCUCAGCCACCGUCUGUCUUCAUCCUAUAUUUUCCAUAUCCAUGUGAGAGCAUGCUGGACAUGAGUUUCCCUCACCCCUUGACCUCUUUGGAGUAGACAUAUUGUCACAAUCAGUUUCAAACCCAUCUCUGGUCUGAGGUGAGAAUACAGAGCAUUUACUUACCUACCCCCUGCCCAACUUUGAUUUGACUGACUGUUUUGCUAGAAGGCUUGUGAGCUAGGCAGCCUUCUUCCUUUCCAUUUCUAGUAAAAACACCACUCGGUGUUUUUACACUGCCGGGCUUGUGGACAAGAAUCUUGAUUUCAUUCCAUGGUCAUCCUGUGGGACAUUGGAGGAAACCAUGUGGCCUUGUCCUUGAUGUGAGUAGGUAGAGUUUCUACCUUCCAGAGAAAUACCACUUAAAGCAAUGGCUGGCCUUCUGGAUGAUGGAAUGAUAAUACCAGUGGGAAAUAAUGAUCAAGUAUUGACUGUGUGCUACAGCACUUUAUGUACGUAAAUGCUUUUGCUUGUUUUUAUUGUGUGACUGCUGGCAAACCACUUAACCCUCUGUGUACCACUGCUCCCAAAUGUAAGUGAUCUCCUAAAGUCCUUUUGAACUAUGAAUUUCUAUGGUUAGGCUGUGUGCAAUGGCUCACACCUGUAGUCCUAGCACUUUGGGAGGCCAAGGCUGGAGGAUUUCUUGAGCCCAGAAGUUUGAGACCAGCCUAGGCAACAUAGUGAAACCCCGUCUCUACAAAAACAAAACAAAACAAAAAACAAAAAAGUCAGGCAUGGUGGUGUGCACCUGUAGUUCCAGAUAUUCAGGAGGCUGAGGCAGAAGGAUCCCUUGAGCUCAAGGGGUUUAAGGCUGCAGUAAGCCAUGAUUGCACCACUGUACUCUAGCCGCCUAGGUGAUAGAGGAGGCCCUGUCUCAACAAAAAAAAAAAAAAAAAAAGAAAAGAAAAGAAAAUCCAUGGUUGUCCUUCUUCCUAUUAGCAGGGAAGGGGCAGAAGAACACCUCUUGCCACUAAUUGGCAGCCUGGGGGUGAUAUUUGUCAUAGGUGAGGGAUUUUCAAACAUUGGUGAGAAUGUGUCCACCCUACACAGUAGCUGUUCUCCUAGGCUUGAAAUGUUGUAGUUGAGAAAAGCACUUGACUCUCCCUCAUCAGAGUUUUUCACUGAAGACAGCUUGAUCUGUAAUUUCAUGGAAAACUUGCCAAUAAUUCUCAACAAGAGGUCAUAUCCCCUGAAUCCAUUGCUAAGGGGGUGUUUUUAAAUGUUCAUAGUUGUUUUGGUUGGUCACUAUAACUGGGAUAUGCCUUUGACAUUUAGUGUCCAGAUUCUAGGGGGUGCUAUUAAAUGUUGUUCAAUAGGCAAAAAAGACUCAUCAUAAAGAAAUGUCCUGCCUGAAAUGCCAAGUAGAACCUCUCUUAAAAAACCUUCUUCAAGCAGUUUAGUGGGCAAACUCUCUGGGGACCAUAUGCUCAUCCUAAACACAGAAGUCGUAAGAUUUAGCAGUUCUCCUUUGGUAACAUGAUCAUCUGUGACUUCCCAGCACCCCUGUGAGCCCCUGGCAGCUUGGGAGCCCUUCCUGCAUGGUGCUGUGACCUUGUGCAUUUGGAAGGGGUCUCUUCCGUGUUGGGCACUCUGCUCACUUUUCUUCUCUAUUUUGUUUCACUUUUCAUCUCUUCAUCUGCCACCAGAUCACACAAUGUAUCUUAGGAAUUUCAGAGCAUUUGCCAAGAUUUCAAAGUUCCUUGGAAAGACCUGGCUUGGAAUAUUAUGUGGAAACCUCAAAGAUGAACUCUUGCAAGGAAGGAUACAUGUGUCUUUACAUUCUUUGAGUCUCUGGAUGGAAUUCCUUCUCCACCUCCAGCAUUCCCAUGCUCUUUUUCCAUUUUCAUGGGAAGCUUUUAUUUUUAAGUUGGCUUUGGCCUUUCCCACGCUAUUUCUUUCCCUCCUUUGCUUUGAAGCUUCAGAGCUAGGAAUUCAGAUCUCCUGGUACAGAGAGUGAAUCCCAGGUGUGUGGGGCUUCAGCCUUCGUUAGAUGGAUCCUGGACGGAGCACAGACAAGCAGUUUCUGACACCAAAGGCAAUAAGAAAAGGGAAAGAAUCUUUGAUGGAGGUUGUUUGGUAUGUGAGUUGGAGAGAAUCUUUGAUGGAGGUUGUUUGGUAUGUGAGUUGGAGGGCCGUGCCAAGUGUCAGAAGGAAGUAGAAGUGGGUAGGAAGGAAAUGGAAUCAUUGAGCAUUUCACGAUAGACUUUUUCUUCUCUCUUUUGGUCAUAGAAUGGACAGAGAAGAACAAAGUAGGCCACAGGUUCAAGACAAGAUCACUUUCCAAAGAGCAUUUUCUCGUGUAUUUCUGUUUCUCUUUCAUAGUGUGGAUCAGAAAGUGACCCUUUACAAAUGAACCACUGAGCCCCUCAGUACUUAGCUCACACGUCAUACCUUAAUUCCUUAGUACUUAGCCUUUGCCAUCUUGAAUAAGAUGGAGUGAAGUGAAGCUCAAACAAGUGACAGAAACCUAGUCCUUGCUCUCAAGGAGGCUUUAGCCUGGUCUGGGGUACAAGAUUUCCUCAUCUUCCUCUUGAAAGGUGGCAGGACAACUCCACGCUGGAGUGUUUGCACCAGCAGAUAGGUGCUGUGGGAGUGUGGUGCCACAUUCUUUAUAGCCACAGGCUUUCAUGGACUUCCCCUGGGUUCCUUCCUAUUGGUUGGUGGACCAUAGUGGCAGUGAAUAUGCAAAGUCAUUCACAUUAAUCAUUUGAUUUGUAUGUAUGUAGAAUUAGAUGUGUAAUCAUUUAAUGGAUAUAUGUGUGUCUGAGUGUACACCACACACACAUGCACAUAUAGAUUUUUAAAUUUAGCAAAGAUAUUUUAGUUACUUUUCCUUCAAGGAACACUUGUAUUUUCUGCCCUGGUGCUGCUGUUGCUGUUGCUGCUGCUGCCUUUUCAUGACAGUUGUUCUUUUUACCUGUUGCCAUAACCAGUUUGUGAAUCAUUCUGGAUGUCUUCCCAGGCAGAUAUGAAUUGCAGCAGGCUAAAGUGAACCCUCUGCUCGGAGCAGAAAUACCACCUCCCAGGGCUCCAGCAGCAAAGCUCUGCACACAUGAAAAACUGUCCAAACCCACUCAACCACAAUUCAGGUGGGAAUAAGAAGCUGGAGCUGCUUAUGAAGUCAGACAACUCUUGAUAAUAGCUUUGAUUUUUGUUUUCUUUUGAUUAUAAAAUUCUUGUCAGAAUGUUUUAAAAAAAGAAGUGAGACAUAGAAAUCCCAACUAGAUGACUGUGGCAGAGGGAACACCAAGACGCCCUCACUGCCACCAUUCCCUCCUAUUUCUGUUCACGCUGAGCAUUUGCUGUCUAAUGUGCCCACUCUGCUGGGAGCAAAAGCAGCAAUGCUGGUUCCGUGUCUUGGCAGCUAGCUACUGUAUGAUGUCAGUUUUACUUCUGGAGGCUUCUGAGGUCUCCUGCCCCUUGUUUCACAGGAAAGAUGGCUUUGGCUUUUGUUGCCUCAGUAAAGGGCUGGAUUAAGUCCUGAGGCCCUGACAGUGGUCGCCCCCUUUUAUUGAAGCCAUCCCCCUGAUUGUACGUUAGAUGAUCUGCCCAUGGCCAACUGGGCUUCUUGAUGUCUGAGCACUGAUGGGAUUGGUCUGUCACUUGGGCUGGACCCAGACCCUAAAACAGGUCUUAAAAGCCUUUCUCCAUUCCCCAGUGAAGGUGGGAACCAAGUGAUGGACCGUCACCAGCCUGGCACCCCUUGCUCAGCUGUUUGUAGUCAGGUGUCUUCUGUCCCCUGCCUCUCCCAGGGCUAUUGCUCUGCCAGUGACCUGACCUUUCCUGGCCCAGUCAAUUAAAAUCAUUUUUUCUGAGUCUUAGAAUUCCUGUCACCCCACCAUGAUAGGGACAUCUCAGUUACCUUCUUGGGAAGAACCUUCAGCUUCCUAAAUGUUUGCUAGAGUUGCUAUACGAAUACUACAGACGGGGUGUCCUAAACAACAGAAGCUUAUUUUUUCAGUUCUGGAAGUUAGUCUGAGAUCAAGGUAUCACCAACGCUGGUUUCUUCCGAGACCUCUCUCUCUGGUUUAUAGAUGGAUACUUUCUCCCUGUGUCUUCACCUGGUCUUCCCUUUGUCUAUAUCUGUAUUCUAAUCCCCUUUUCUUUCAAAGGACACCAGUCUGUUGGAGUGGGGCCCAUCCCCAAUUGACCUCCCUGUUACUUACUUCUUUAAGAAGGCCCUAUCUUGAAACACAGUCACAUUCUGAGGUUCUAGCAGUUAGAACUUCAAUACAUGAAUUUGAGAGUUUGGGGGAGAUAUAGUUCAGCCUGUAACACCAAGAUUUUACCCCCAAACGAAAAAGUUGUAUUGUGUUCUUCUCCCACUUGCAGUUACUGCCUGGCGCUAAGUGUCUGGAGGUGCUUUGGAGGUCCAGGGACAAUGGCUCGCUCCAAGCCUGGAAUAAAUGACCUCUGGGGUUGACAGGCACUGAGAGACUGCUGGACCCAGGGUUCCUAACCCUGCCCACCAAAGCCACUCUGCCCCAUCUCCCAGAAGGGAUCCUCAAAGCUGAGCUAUCCCAAGGCACACUUGUUUGCUAACUGAGGGUGUUUUCCUAAAUGCCAGUGGGGAAGAACACCAGUGCCGACAUGCUAGGCUAGACCCAGCCAUGCAGAGCGCAGAGGAGCUGCCCUUGCCUGCACCGGGGGAAUGUUUGGUGGGUGUUUUGAGCACUUACUACAUACCACAUACUGUUCUGGGUAUUUACUUUCUUAAAAAAAAAAAAAA